rnacentral:rRNA from 1 species
AUACGGAGGAUGCAAGCGUUAUCCGGAUUUAUUGGGUUUAAAGGGUGCGUAGGCGGAUGAUUAAGCGUGAGGUGAAAUGCCACUGCUCAACAGUGGAACUGCCUCGCGAACUGGUUGUCUUGAAUGCUCCUGCCGUGGGAGGAAUGUGUGGUGUAGCGGUGAAAUGCAUAGAGAUCACACAGAACACCGAUUGCGAAGGCAUCUCACGAAGGGGUGAUUGACGCUGAGGCACGAAAGCGUGGGGAUCAAACAGGAUUAGAUACCCUGGUAGUCCACGCAGUAAACGAUGAUAACUAACCGCUGGGUCGUAGUGAUUCAGUGGCCAAGCGAAAGCGAUAAGUUAUCCACCUGGGGAGUACGACCGCAAGGUUGAAACUCAAAGGAAUUGGCGGGG